AUAGUAAUAUAUUAGUAAACAACAACUUAAUUUUUAGUGUGAAGUUUCACACUAUUGUGAUGGCUGGCGAAUUCACACGAAUCAGUCAAUCAUAGAGUAAACUUUCCGGGGGGUGUAUACGAUUUAUGUUCGUAGUGAUUUAUUGUACUUAGUCAGUACUUUGAAGGUUAUUUAGGCAAUUUCAGUUAACUUAUUUACAUAUUCUGUUAUCCUUUUGCCAAGUUCACAAAAAUUUCGAGGAAUCGCUUUCGUUAUUGUAAUAUUUUGUAACUUUUAGAACAUUCGCUUCUCAUGCUGUUUAAAGGAUCUUUACCCCGGAACACCCGAUUUUUUCUUUAAUAGCGCAAAUGCGCAUGCGCUAUCAAGCCGUAGAUCACGAUGGCGUGACGAUAUGCUAGGAAGGAGGGAAGGAGUGACAGUGUUGUUUUCAGAUGUAUAAACAUUUUAGACGUGAAUAUUGAGUAAAUCUUUGAAAAUCUACGCAAUAUAUAAAUUGAUCUUAUGCAUUACGGGCGUUCAAUUAAAUGCCGAUAAUAUUUAGA